rnacentral:rRNA from 1 species
AACGCUAGCUACAGGCUUAACACAUGCAAGUCGCGGGGCAGCAUUUUCUUAGCUUGCUAAGGAAGAUGGCGACCGGCGCACGGGUGAGUAACGCGUAUCCAACCUUCCCAUGUCCACGGGAUAGCCCGUCGAAAGGCGGAUUAAUACCGUAUGAGGUCGCAUGCGGGCAUCUAAGUGUGACGAAAGGUUUUGCGGACAUGGAUGGGGAUGCGUCCGAUUAGCUUGUUGGCGGGGUAACGGCCCACCAAGGCGACGAUCGGUAGGGGUUCUGAGAGGAAGGUCCCCCACAUUGGAACUGAGACACGGUCCAAACUCCUACGGGAGGCAGCAGUGAGGAAUAUUGGUCAAUGGGCGGAAGCCUGAACCAGCCAAGUAGCGUGAGGAAUGACUGCCCUAUGGGUUGUAAACCUCUUUUAUAAGGGAAUAAAAUACGGGACGUGUCCUGUUUUGCAUGUACCUUAUGAAUAAGGACCGGCUAAUUCCGUGCCAGCAGCCGCGGUAAUACGGAAGGUCCGGGCGUUAUCCGGAUUUAUUGGGUUUAAAGGGAGCGUAGGCCGGAGAUUAAGCGUGUUGUGAAAUGUAGAUGCUCAACAUCUGCACUGCAGCGCGAACUGGUUUCCUUGAGUACGCACAAAGUGGGCGGAAUUCGUGGUGUAGCGGUGAAAUGCUUAGAUAUCACGAAGAACUCCGAUUG